CCCUGCCCUUUGUACACACCGCCCGUCGCUACUACCGAUUGAAUGGCUCAGUGAGGCCUUGGGACUGGCUCAGAGAGGUCGGCAACGACCACUCAGAGCCGGAAACUUGGUCAAACUUGGUCAUUUAGAGG
rnacentral:rRNA from 1 species